AGACACCAGCGCGGCCGUGGACGAGCGGCACAUGAGCCUGGGAGCCGGGACGACCCCUGACCCCUGACCCCUGACCUCCUCCCAGUGGGAAAAGCAGGGGCACCAGUGAGGAAGCAGUGAGAUCCAGCAGUGAGGUGCAGCGUUUGUGGUUUGGUCCCAUUUUAACUUGAGCCCAGAGGCUUGUGCCCGCCAGGAGAGGCCCUGAAGGAUGCCCUCGAGGGGGAGGCUCUGAAAAACAAACAGGGAUUCAUAGCUGCACCUGCUUCUGGGUAUGCAAGUAUUCCGGGCUGGUCCACCACCUCCAUCUGGCCAGGAAAUGGCUACAUUUUUCCCCCAAGAACGUGCUGUGAAUAUUAAA